rnacentral:rRNA from 1 species
UACCAGCACCCCGAGUGGUCGGGACGAUUAUUGGGCCUAAAGCAUCCGUAGCCGGUCCUACAAGUCUUCCGUUAAAUCCACCUGCUUAACAGAUGGGCUGCGGAAGAUACUAUAGGGCUAGGAGGCGGGAGAGGCAAGCGGUACUCGAGUGGGUAGGGGUAAAAUCCUCUGAUCCAUUGAAGACCACCAGUGGCGAAGGCGGCUUGCCAGAACGCGCUCGACGGUGAGGGAUGAAAGCUGGGGGAGCAAACCGGG